GGGAUAUGACAGCUUCUGGAAUCUGACAGACAAGGAACAGUACUGGACUCCAGUUGCAUGACCUUGGAAAUGAUAUUUAUCCCAGGCUGUGGCUCUACAUCCAAAAUAGCUAAACAAGAAGCUUCAGGUUCCCUUCUUCCACAUGUCUCCAUUUGUACAUGAACACACUUAGAAAGAAAGUUAUUUAUCCAUGAUCAAAGGAUCUCAUCUCCUGCUGGUACACUCACAGAAAAGAAUAUUUACUGAGAGUAUCUUUGUCUUUAAAACCAAGGACAAAGUGCUUCAAACAGCUAACCCUGAAGCAAGUCAUGCCCAAGAUGUGCGUUCCCUGCACCACUGCCUUGAGCCACUCCAAAUGCCACAUGUCCUCCUUGCCCAUCUAAUUUUCCACGUAAAUAUCAUCAGCCACCAUCAGUAAGUCAUUUCCUGCU